CAGAAAAUUUUUUUGCCGACAGAAGAGAAAAAAAAAAAUCAUUUACUCUCUCUCGAUUUUUUCUCUCCUCUCUCACGGCAAUUUGCCGAUUUCUUCUCAGCUCCGGCCGGUACGACGUAGAUCUGUCGCCGUGGAGAAUCGCAGUACCAAACCAAUCUCCCUGUGAGCGACGGAGCUGCUUCGGUUAGGAAUAACAGAGGAGGAAGAAGCAGUUGUUGUUGCUGCGAUUGGAUCUCUAGUUACUUUAGUCUCAGUUUCAUUCAUGGAGGACAAUUUGCUGCAGCUUGAGAACGAUAUCACCGAUGAAAUAAGCUUUUCCAUGACCAAAGUCUUGUUGUUCUCGUGUCUGGAACCACUUAUAGACAUUGCAGAACAUCAAGCUUGUGCUUAACGAUGAUGGACUGAACUUCAAGCUUCUCCAUCGUCCACGGGAGAGGAACUGAGAAAGCAAAUUGGUGCAGCUGCUUAUAUCGAGUGCAGUUCCAAGACUCAACAAAUUCCAUGGCCUAAGCCUCCUACAAAGUGGGACGACUUCUGUGUUCUAUAGUUUGAAUGUACUAAUGUUUAUUUGGUUUGAAAUUGUUCUUGGUUCUGUUUCUUAGGUAUACUGAUCAGUUUAUACUUUAUUUUUGAAAGGAAACCAAGUUUUUUUGGAUUGUAAUAUUACAUUUUCUAAUCUUAUGUUUUUAUAUAUUUA